CCUACGGGUGGCAGCAGUGGGGAAUAUUGCACAAUGGGGGAAACCCUGAUGCAGCGACGCCGCGUGAGUGAAGAAGUAAUUCGUUACGUAAAGCUCUAUCAGCAGGGAAGAAAUACUGACCUUACGGUCAGCAGACGGUACCUGAGUAAGAAGCCCCGGCUAACUACGUGCCAGCAGCCGCGGUAAUACGUAGGGGGCAAGCGGUAUCCGGAUUUACUGGGUUUAAAGGGUGCGUAGGCGGGCAUUUAAGCCGGCGGUCAAAUGUCGGGGCUCAACCCCGGCCUGCCGUCGGAACUGGGUGCCUUGAGUGGGCGAGAAGUAUGCGGAAUGCGUGGUGUAGCGGUGAAAUGCAUAGAUAUCACGCAGAACCCCGAUUGCGAAGGCAGCAUACCGGCGCCCUACUGACGCUGAGGCACGAAAGUGCGGGUAUCGAACAGGAUUAGAUACCCCGGUAGUC
rnacentral:rRNA from 1 species